UUCUUCUUUAAAGUCUCAAGUAAAAUACCAUUUUUCUUCUUAAAAUUUGGUUUAGUUAUUGAGCGGGCCACUUGGGAGUUGCGAGGGAUAGCUAGAUCGAAGGUAAGCAACCUAUUUUCAUAUCAAAUCCGCAUAAAAUGCUUUUGACUAGAGUAUUUACGGUAUAGAUAGGAAUUAUAAAUAAUCUUUGCUUCUUUUUUUUAAAUGUUUGGCUUCAUGAACAUGGUGGAUUGAAGCUGGCAAAGCUAUGAAAUGUUUUCCAAAAUGAUUUUCAAAGGGCUUUAAUAAUAAUAAAAGGUUUACGAUCUGAUUUGGCAAAGUUUUUAAGAAAAAUUAUAAAUAUAAGGGUUUUGCAUUUGAGGAAGACAAUGAAUAGUGAUUGUUUUCGAAAGAAUAGAGUUUAGUGAGGUUACCUUUAAUUAAUAGUCUAGAUCUGCAAAUACAUGUAGGUUAGGAGGGUUAAAAGUUAGGAAAUGAGGCAAGUAUUAGAGCAAUAAAAAUUUGUAGGAGAUAACAUAAGUAGUGGGCUGUUGUUGAGUAGUGAAUGAAUUAAAUUGUUUUAGACAAAAUGUGAUGUGUAUUUGUUCAUGCGAAGCUAAAAAUAUUGGGGGAACAUCGACUAGCAAAGACAAAGUCAAGGAGAAGAUCACAUAAUCGAUGCUGUGGUGAACCAACAUGAGUACUCUGUGUACGACUCUUGAAAACAAGGUCGCGCACGACUGAAAGCCAAGUAAGACGUGUGAACCCCAUCUUAACGUUGUGUAUUAAACUUAUGCAUUGCGCAUAUAACAUCUCGAUUUUGGGCCUAGUCGGAAUAGUGGUUUCGAGACCACAAAUCUGAUGAGGAAAAAUUUAUUUUUCUUAUAUUUUUAUGGUCUAUGAUUUCACAAAAUGAUUUCGUGAAAAUUUAGUUCAAAAAUUUCGACGUUUGGGCACUCAAUUUAGUCAAAAAGACUAAAUUGUAAAAAGUGCAAAAGGUUGAUUCUACGUGUUAGUGGUGUCCAAUUGUUAUGAAAUUUUAAAUUGGAGGUCCUUAUAUGGGAAUUAGACCAUUGGUUAAUUUGGUAGACAAAAAUGGACAUGGUUAGGCAUGUUUCUAAAGUUUUUCAUUAAGGGCAUUUUGGUCAUUUAGUUAUUAAAAUGAAUUAAAAACAAAAUUAAAAGCAAAUUUUUC
rnacentral:lncRNA from 1 species